GCGUUAAUGGCCAUGCACAGUACCUUGAUUUUUCAUAAGAGUUUCUAUGUAUAGCCCAUUCACAUAGCCGCGGCCACAUACGGAUACUCUUAUAUAGGUGGUUUCCUCCAGAGAUGUGUGUAGAGUCACAUCUCGCGAAAAUUAUCGCCUUGGAUCCCAUUAAGAGCUCUCAGCUCAACCUCAACCACUACACAGAGCACUACUCACCAUAGGGAUAGGAUUGGAGCUAAAGCUCCUCUAUAUAAACAGUAGACAGUGCUCUUUGGCCAACCUGACAGCUUGUUUUUACCACAUUGAACCUUCUUCAAGGGAUCUCCUAUCACAAAGGUUGGGUUCCCACUGCAGGAAGGCCCUUUACGGGCAAAGUCCCAUUCCCCUCGAUGAAUCCAGGACCUUAGUCCUAUUCAAGCCGUUCGUCAAAUAAUCUACAAAAUUCUGUUCAGAUCUGAUAAAAAUCAAAUAAAUAAUAUUAUGAAAAUAACCAUCUAAUAAAUUUAUGUCUCAAAAUAAUUUACCUGCCAAUCUUAGAAUUUGUAAAAUUUGUUUCCAAGAUGAACACUAGGAUAAUGUCACGCCCCGAGACAGCUACCAAUUUGGUCCGGCCCCGGGCGCGCCGAACAGACGCCGAACGGACAGGACCUCCCCUGUCCGUCCAAGGCUAACCAACGGAUCAUGUAUAAGAAUUUACCCAGGAAUUAAUUCAUAAAUACACGAUCAAGAAGCACCACCAGUGCAACAAAACGAGAGCAAGAAUACAAGUAUAAAAACAUAUACAAGUACAUAAAGAGAGAAGAGGCUAUCUAUUACAGUCAUUUGACUUAAUACAUUUAAUUACAUCUUUUACUUCUUCCAAAAUAUGAAUACAAUCACUCAAACCUCACCCUAUACAACAUCUACUCUCAAAUACAAAAAGGGUGACAGCUAAUGCAAAAAGGGAGGUAGCUAAUGCGACUAGAGCGCCGGGCCCUUACCACGAUCCUCACGCUCGCCGGGGAUGCCCGAGCUAGAACCUGUAAAAAGUGGGGUGAGAACUAACUUCCUUAGUUCCCAGUGGGUUCGGCCGCCGACUCCGCCGAUCUCCCCACUAGGUCCAAGCGGGCAAAAGUAGCUAAUCGAUAGAUAGAUAGAUAAGGAAAGCUGUAAAGACAGGAAAGUAAAGCUACACUACUAUGCCCAAUCAUGGAUACAUGAAUGCAUGUUCAAUAAAACGGUAAGCAACUAACCUGUCGUCAUGUCAAAGGUAAAGCUAUGUACUUAUUCAUCAAUGUCAUUUAUUUGUUUCUUAAUCUCAUGGCUUCCCUGAAGGAGCCUACUGCUCACUAGCCAUCUCGAAGGUAGGGAGGGUCAACUCGCACUACGAACCGAGACCGUCUGCCGGGGCCUAAAUAGGCAAACCCUUGGGACCCAAAAUAGGCGAUCCCACGUGACCAACAUCCGGAGCGCACUACUUGUGUGGGGCUUCCAUCACAAGAUUUAGAAACAGACCGUGAGCAUGAUCUAAUCCUCGUCUCGAGAAUACCCUAUCCUCUAGGGUUACAAUCAUCAUAUAGUCCAUAGGUUUCACAUACACUACGACUCAUAUGUGUCAUUGUUCUUUUGCUUACUAUCAACUAAAUUACCACUCGUCCACUGUACUGUUUACUAUCGACUAGAUGCCACUCGUUCUUUGUUUAACAUUAGACCAACCAUUAAGCCCAUCUCUUUCUUUGCACUAUAGGAUUCACAAUCUCGACCCAAUCCUUAUCGAUCCACUAUAUCAAGUAUCAAAUUCAUGCUACGAUAUCAAGGAAAGCAUAAGGAAAGGAAAUGCACAAUCCUCCUAUAAUGCAAUAAUACAAGAUGCAAGAAUCGACAUGUACUAAGACAUAGAAGGGAGCCCGAUUGCUUCGGGAUGGACACCACCCACCUCUUGGCGAUGUCGCGAUGAUAGAGAACUCGACGCUGGGGUCCUUGCACGCCGCUUCAACUCCUCGGGGCGAAGCGAGCCCUCGAGUACCCGAUUCGGCGAUAACUCCGCACUCGCUCGUCGGAUCGGCAAACCGUCUUCGCCGACGCGUUCCGAGACCUAGCAAUUUGGUUUACGACCUAUUAAAAUAGAUCAAAACCCUAGAUUUACCAAAGUCCCAAUUCCGUGCCCUAGAAUGGCAACGGGGAAGAAAUCCGUGGUGCGAGCUUCGAUUUCGAGCUCGAACCACCUAUUCAUCUCCUCUAGGUUCUAUUCGAACCAAUUCUAAGCAACAAAACCCAAUCCUAAAAAAUCUACCAUGGAUGGGUUUGGAGUUUACCUCUAAGCCAAGCUCCAAGCUUGCCCUAGCUUGAAAGAGAGAGAGAAGAAGACCUUCUUCUUCUUCUUCUUGAACUUCUCCUUCUACUUCUUCCUCUUUUCCUUCCUUUCUUUCUUCUCCUUCUUCUUCUCCUUCUUUUCUUUCUAGAGAGAGAGAGGGAAGAGUGUAAGAGGGAGAGAGAGCAAAUGAGAGGGAGAGAGGAGCCCCAAGCCUCUAAUAAAGGCCAUUUUGCAAAUAGCCCCCUCAACUUUCCAUUCCUGAAACAGCUCUCCCUGGGCCAUUUUCGCAGUGAGGGACCGGUCCCAGCUCGGGGAGACCGGUCCCCGAAGGCUGCCAUUUCGAGCAGAGGGGAUUUCGCGUUCGGGAACCGGUCUUUGCCUGAGAGAACGGUCCCCGGGAGACCGGUCCUUGUCCGAGAGACCGGUUCCCGAAAGCUGAGUUUUCGGGACUUAGCCAAAUUUCGGCUAUUUUCGCUGGGCCAACGUUCGGGAACCGGUCCCUCACCACCCGGGACCGGUCUCAUCAGAGACCCCCGCAGCCCAGCCUGAUGGAACCGGUCCCUGCCUGCCAGGGACCGGUCCCCGAGAGAAAUUCUGCUCCAUUGCAGAUUUUGCACUGGUGCUCCCGCGGACCCUUCUUUAAUGCACUUUAUGCAUUAUAAACACCUUCGGACCUUCCGAAGCCUACGCACUCGACGAAUAGUCGAUUCUAGUCGAAGUCUAAUCCUCGAGUUUCGAGAAUUCACUUCCUAACAGAUAAAAUCAUGAGAGCAAUUAUAAUAUCAAAAUCUAUCAAACUGAUAAAAGAUUUCCCCCCACAAGUUUUGCGAUAUAUCAAAACUUAAAAUCAUGAGGUUAAUCAUGUCUAAUGGGGUUUGGUUCAACAGCAAAUAGAUGACCUAAACAAUUUUUUUUUAAAAUUUUAUCUCAAUUAGAUCUUUUCAUUACAAAAUAUAAUGCAAGCAAUAUGCAUCAAACAAAAUGAUUACUGUAAAGUGGUGCUGUUGGUUACACGACUUUUGUUCAAAGACUGUGCUUAAACAAACUGUGGGUUUCAAAUCCCAAUAUUGAAACAAUAACAAUAAUAUUUAAUAAUAAAGCUUAAAGAAAUCUAACCUCUUUUUUUUUUCUUUCUUUUUUUUUUUUUUUAUAAAGUCACAAAAUAGUAUAUGUAUUUGCACAGGAAAAUUUUUUACUGUAGUAGAUCUUUUUUUAAAAAAUAAAUAUCUGUACAACUUGUCUUUAAAAUACUGUAGCACACAUAUAUAUAUAUAUUACCAAAGAAUUUUACUGUAGCAAAACUCUAAAAUCACACUCUAAUAAAAUUAUUUUUACUAUAGCAAAAUUAUUAUUAUUAUUAUUUAUCAAAGAAUUUUAGCAAAAGACAAUAUUUAUAUAUAUUAACCCUAUUUCUUGGUCGGAAAAAUCAGGAAAUAGUUUUUAUAUAUAUACACACACGCGCAAAGAAAUCCAACAUUAAAACGUAUUUUACUGUAGCAAAAUUGUUUAAAAUUAAUUUUGCUGUAGCAAAGCUUUUUUUUUUUUUUAAUCACCAAAUAAAUUAUAAUUUCAACGGUAAGUUAAAUAAUAUACAAUUACAUAUUAAAGUGCUAAUCUCUAAAAAAUUUAUGUUUGAAUGCCAAUUAUACAAACAAGUUAACAAACAAAUUAACAAACAAAUUAUAUACAUAUAAAAUU
rnacentral:lncRNA from 1 species